rnacentral:rRNA from 1 species
UGGAUCGUGCGGCUUAAUUUGAUUCAACGCGAGGAAACUUACCAGUGCCGAACAUUGUGAGGAUAGACAGACUGCAGCUCUUUCUUGAUUCUGUGUUUUUUUAAGUAGUGCAUGGCCUUUGGGAAGUGAGUGGAUUGAUUUUUCUGAUUAAUUUCGAUAACUAGCGAGACCUCGAUCAUGUUAACUGCUAUACCUGUGCAUCUGUACAAUGUGUAUAGCUCUUAGUGAGACUAUUGGUGUUGUAGCCAAAGGAAGCUCGAGGCGAUAAAAGGUCCGUGAUGCUCUCAGAUGUUCUGGGCCGCACGCGCGAUACACUGAUUAGAUCAAGGAGUAGUGGUGCUCUCAUAUGCAGGUAACUGUAUAUAGGGCGUCUCCUGUGCCGAAAGGUAUGGGGAAUCUUAGAAAUCUGAUCGUGCUGGGGAUUGAUGACUGGAACUGUUGUCAUGAACGAGGAAUUCCUAGUAAACAUACGUCAUCAGCGUAUAUUGAUUACGUCCCUGCCCUUUGUACACACCGCCCGUCGCUGUUACCGAUUGAAUGACUUAGUGAGGUGUAAGGAGUGCUCUUCGGAGUGCGAAUUACCCCAAACUGCGCCAUUAGAGAAGCAAA